ensembl:snRNA U6 U6 spliceosomal RNA
GUGCUUGCUUUGGGAGCACAUAUACUAAAAUUAGAAUGAUACACAGAAGAUUAGCAUGGCCCCUGUGCAAGGAUGACACAAAAAUUCAUGAACUGUUCCAUAUUUUU